GAACAGAGAAGGAGCUUGCUCCUUUGACGUUAGCGGCGGACGGGUGAGUAACACGUGGGCAACCUACCUUAUAGUUUGGGAUAACUCCGGGAAACCGGGGCUAAUACCGAAUAAUCUGUUUCACCUCAGGUGAAAUAUUGAAAGACGGUUUCGGCUGUCGCUAUAGGAUGGGCCCGCGGCGCAUUAGCUAGUAUGGUGAGGUAACGGCUCACCAAGGCGACGAUGCGUAGCCGACCUGAGAGGGUGAUCGGCCACACUGGGACUGAGACACGGCCCAGACUCCUACGGGAGGCAGCAGUAGGGAAUCUUCCACAAUGGGCGAAAGCCUGAUGGAGCAACGCCGCGUGAGUGAAGAAGGAUUUCGGUUCGUAAAACUCUGUUGUAAGGGAAGAACAAGUACAGUAGUAACUGGCUGUACCUUGACGGUACCUUAUUAGAAAGCCACGGCUAACUACGUGCCAGCAGCCGCGGUAAUACGUAGGUGGCAAGCGUUGUCCGGAAUUAUUGGGCGUAAAGCGCGCGCAGUGGUUUCUUAAGUCUGAUGUGAAAGCCCACGGCUCACCCGUGGAGGGUCAUUGGAAACUGGGAGACUUGAGUGCAGAAGAGGAUAGUGGAAUUCCAAGUGUAGCGGUGAAAUGCGUAGAGAUUUGGGAGGAACACCA
rnacentral:rRNA from 1 species